GACGAACGCUGGCGGCGUGCCUAAUACAUGCAAGUUGAGCGCUGAAGGUUGGUACUUGUACCAACUGGAUGAGCAGCGCACGGGUGAGUAACGCGUGGGGAAUCUGCCUUUGAGCGGGGGACAACAUUUGGAAACGAAUGCUAAAACCGCAUAAAAACUUUAAACACAAGUUUUAAGUUUGAAAGAUGCAAUUGCAUCACUCAAAGAUGAUCCCGCGUUGUAUUAGCUAGUUGGUGAGGUAAAGGCUCACCAAGGCGAUGAUACAUAGCCGACCUGAGAGGGUGAUCGGCCACAUUGGGACUGGGACACGGCCCAAACUCCUACGGGAGGCAGCAGUAGGGAAUCUUCGGCGAUGGACGAAAGUCUGACCGAGCAACGCCGCGUGAGUGAAGAAGGGUUUCGGAUCGUAAAACUCUGUUGGUAGAGAAGAACGUUGGUGAGAGUGGAAAGCUCAUCAAGUGACGGUAACUACGCAGAAAGGGACGGCUAACUACGUG
rnacentral:rRNA from 1 species